AGUCGAGCGAACGGACGAGAAGCUUGCUUCUCUGAUGUUAGCGGCGGACGGGUGAGUAACACGUGGAUAACCUACCUAUAAGACUGGGAUAACUUCGGGAAACCGGAGCUAAUACCGGAUAAUAUUUUGAACCGCAUGGUUCAAAAGUGAAAGACGGUCUUGCUGUCACUUAUAGAUGGAUCCGCGCUGCAUUAGCUAGUUGGUAAGGUAACGGCUUACCAAGGCAACGAUGCAUAGCCGACCUGAGAGGGUGAUCGGCCACACUGGAACUGAGACACGGUCCAGACUCCUACGGGAGGCAGCAGUAGGGAAUCUUCCGCAAUGGGCGAAAGCCUGACGGAGCAACGGCCGCGUGAGUGAUGAAGGUCUUCGGAUCGUAAACUCUGUUAUUAGGGAAGAACAUAUGUGUAAGUAACUGUGCACAUCUUGACGGUACCUAAUCAGAAAGCCACGGCUAACUACGUGCCAGCAGCCGCGGUAAUACGUAGGUGGCAAGCGUUAUCCGGAAUUAUUGGGCGUAAAGCGCGCGUAGGCGGUUUUUUAAGUCUGAUGUGAAAGCCCACGGCUCAACCGUGGAGGGUCAUUGGAAACUGGAAAACUUGAGUGCAGAAGAGGAAAGUGGAAUUCCAUGUGUAGCGGUGAAAUGCGCAGAGAUAUGGAGGAACACCAGUGGCGAAGGCGACUUUCUGGUCUGUAACUGACGCUGAUGUGCGAAAGCGUGGGGAUCAAAC
rnacentral:rRNA from 1 species